GUGCACGCUGGCGGUAGGCCUAACACCUGCCAGUCGAACGGCAGCACCGUAAGAGCUUGCUCUUACGGGUGGCGAGUGGCGGACGGGUGAGGAAUACAUCGGAAUCUACUUUUUCGUGGGGGAUAACGUAGGGAAACUUACGCUAAUACCGCAUACGACCUACGGGUGAAAGCAGGGGAUCUUCGGACCUUGCGCGAUUGAAUGAGCCGAUGUCGGAUUAGCUAGUUGGCGGGGUAAAGGCCCACCAAGGCGACGAUCCGUAGCUGGUCUGAGAGGAUGAUCAGCCACACUGGAGCUGAGACACGGUCCAGACUCCUACGGGAGGCAGCAGUGGGGAAUAUUGGACAAUGGGCGCAAGCCUGAUCCAGCCAUACCGCGUGGGUGAAGAAGGCCUUCGGGUUGUAAAGCCCUUUUGUUGGGAAAGAAAAGCAGCAGGUUAAUACCCCGCUGUUCUGACGGUACCCAAAGAAUAAGCACCGGCUAACUUCGUG
rnacentral:rRNA from 1 species